GAUGAACGCUAGCGGCGGGCUUAAUACAUGCAAGUCGAGGGGUGGUAGCAAUACUACACCGGCGCACGGGUGCGUAACGCGUAUGCAAUCUACCUUUAUCUGGGGGAUAGCCCGGGGAAACCCGGAUUAAUACCGCAUAACAAAUUUCUUGGCAUCAAGAGGUUUUAAAAGAUUUAUCGGAUAGAGAUGAGCAUGCGUAAGAUUAGAUAGUUGGCGAGGUAACGGCUCACCAAGUCUACGAUCUUUAGGGGCUCUGAGAGGAGAAUCCCCCACACUGGCACUGGGAUACGGGCCAGACUCCUACGGGAGGCAGCAGUAGGGAAUAUUGGGCAAUGGGCGCAAGCCUGACCCAGCCACGCCGCGUGCAGGAAGAAGGCCCUCUGGGUUGUAAACUGCUUUUGACUGGGAAGAAAAGACUCCUUGCGAGGAGAGUUGACGGUACCAGCAGAAUAAGCCACGGCUAACUACGUGCCAGCAGCCGCCGUAAGAC
rnacentral:rRNA from 1 species